UGAAGAGCACAAAUGAAACUCUUGUAGAU
rnacentral:piRNA from 1 species